CUGCCAGCUCUGCCUGUUGAAAAUGAAGAGGUGACGGUAACAUCUUCGUCAUCCGCCUGCAAAGGACCUGAUCAGACCGAGGCCAACACUAAAGGGCAACGUGGCCCCAGCAAGUCUGGGCUGAGCCGGACCUGGCAGCAAAGCCGGUGUCACAGAUGCCUCAGGGGCCAGCAGGUCAGGGAAAUGUGUGAAGCCAGCCGGUGCAGGAUGACCUGGAGGGACGGACACUUCCUGUGCCAAAGUGGAGAUCUUAGGUGCCCCACCCUAAAUGAUAUGAUAAUAUGGUUUCUCGGCCCUGGUUGGGUAGCUCAGUUUGUUAGAGCAUCAUCCCGAUACACCAAGGUUGUGGGUUUGAUCCCUGGUCAGGGCACAU